rnacentral:rRNA from 1 species
AUACGUAGGGGGCGAGCGUUGUCCGGAAUGAUUGGGCGUAAAGGGCGCGUAGGCGGCCCGGUAAGUCUGGAGUGAAAGUCCUGUUUUUAAGAUGGGAAUUGCUUUGGAUACUGUCGGGCUUGAGUUCAGGAGAGGUAAGUGGAAUUCCCAGUGUAGCGGUGAAAUGCGUAGAGAUUGGGAGGAACACCAGUGGCGAAGGCGACUUACUGGACUGUAACUGACGCUGAGGCGCGAAAGUGUGGGGAGCAAACAGGAUUAGAUACCCUGGUAGUCCACACUGUAAACGAUGAAUGCUAGGUGUAGGGGGUAUCGACCCCUUCUGUGCCGCAGUCAACACAAUAAGCAUUCCGCCUGGGGAGUACGGCCGCAAGGUUGAAACUCAAAUGAAUGGACGGGG